GGGGUUUUAGUUUAAUUGGUAGAGCGUAGGCUUUGCAAGUCUAAGAUUACUGGUUCGAGGCCAGUAAACUCCA
rnacentral:tRNA from 1 species